rnacentral:lncRNA from 1 species
UUUCAUUUAAUCCCUUUAUUUUGUUUAAUUCAUAUUAAAUUAAUUUUUAAUCCAAAAAAUAUGGGACUUUCACCAAAAGUAUUUAAAUAUUUUCCUCUUCCAUAUUUUGAAUUAAAAACAUUUUUUGGAUUAAUUUUGAUGUUUUUCAUGAAUUAAAUGUUUUUUAACUUAUUUUUAAUUAUUUUAAAAUACUUCUGACUUUCCAAAAAUUAUGAAACUUUUUGUCUAAGGUCCUUU